rnacentral:rRNA from 1 species
GUCUACAGCCAUGCUUCCCUGAACAAGCCUGAUCCCAUCUGAUCUUGGAAGCUAAGCAGGAUUGGGCCUGGUUAGUGCUUGUAUAGGAGACUACCUAGGAAGACCAGGUGCUGUAGGAG